rnacentral:SRP_RNA from 1 species
GCGCGGGUCCUGCGCGGCGGGACACCACGAAUCGGGUCAGGUCCGGAAGGAAGCAGCCCUAAGAGGUUUGUUCC